UUAGUUUUUCAGUGCCUGAGAGGGUUUCUAAGCGGUGAUUAUGAACUUAGUAUGCCAUUAAAAACAGAGUUUCACAUCAUUCAACAAGGGUUUUAUCGUGAGACUAACUGUUUGAAAGUGUAAGUUCCUGUCAAAUUAGGUGAUUUCAGAAGAUUUCUAUUUGCAGGGACGUCAAAAGCACACCUUACAGUGGAGCAGAAAGUCACUGACAGCAACUUGUGGAUUUCUGCAUUUAUCCGUGCAAGUGAGGAUUCUGGAAGUUGCGGUUGAUGAGUCUUCUGUAAUCUGGAAAGCGCUUUGCCCUGUUUCUGUUGUAGGUAUAUCUGUGCUGGAUAUUGAGUUUAGACUGGAUUCUGUUUCACUUUCUGUUGGCGGAGAAAAAGUCAGGUGUUGAUGUAUAUGUAGCUGUGAAGGAAGCUGUGUCAACAUGGCCUGAAAAAAACAGAGUGAAUCCGGUCCCUCACCAGUUGCCUCACUUACUCUGCAUCGAAUGGAUACUCUAAGAACCUUGUUCAUUAGACUUUCAUGACGAACCAAACAGUCAACUCUGGAUUCCUGGUCGUGUGCUUUGAUUUUCAACAUACUGAUUGUUGUAAACUUUGCCCCUUUGUUUUCUGGAAUAUAUUCUGUGUGUUCUAUGUUUAAAAAAAAUAGUUUUGUGAAAUUACAGAACAUUAAGAGGUUUCCAUGUUAAGAAAUUUAACCAUUAAAUACUCCACCUAGACACUAUUUCUUUGCAGCACUUGUGCUGGACCUACAGCACCCCCUGCUGUAAUGUUCUUUAUAUUUGUUUUUUAUUUUAUCAACAGGAAAUUGUGGCUAACGUUAGUUGGAAAAUGAAAGUCACAUACAGACAUAUAAAUCAACAGAAGCUUUUAUAGUGCAUACAUAUGUUUCCGAGUAGUCAAAAAUGGGCCUGCAUAAAGGUUAUGGGCUCGAUUUUACAGACCCCCACUGGGCGUAAAAUAUGAUUAGCUCACUGUCUUCCCGAUAUCCCCAACCCAGUACCUGUAAUAUAGUAGGCAGGUGGACACUGAAAUCGGCAACCUACCCAUCAUUUUAAACAAAUAAUUGACAGGCAAUUAAGCUUGUCAUCAAGGCAAUUGACCCAAAUAUGAUGCUGCCCAUGCCAUAAUAUGGUUGUGGGGCAAGGGGGUGAGAUUCAGAGGUCAUUUUUAAAAUAAUCGUGGUAAAGGCAUGAAGGAAUGGGGUGUAUUUCCUGGGGGGUUUCCUGUGUGCAUCAGAGUGCCCCCUCCUCCCAAGAUGUUACUCAACCCUUUGUUCCUCCUUGCCUGGCCUUGAGGGAGGCCUCGCCUACCUCCUUAGGCUCCCCAAACUCUUCCCGCUCUAAAAGCCCGGGACUAUUUUAGUUCGGAAUCCAUCGAUAUUCAUUGUGGGCCUACUUGCAGUCCCAGCAAUACCCAUUACUGAGCUCUGGCGCUGCUGGAGCUGUCAGCCAAUCAGAUUGUUCAGGAGUUCUUGUGAGCAGAACUUCCUCCCACUGAGGGGCAGAAUUCUAAACCUCACCUACUUAAGGCCACCUGCAGGUUAUUAUUGGCCGUCAGUCAGUGCAGCCCUGACUCUCCUUCUGGGAUGGUGGGGAUUGUGGUGGGGGGGUGGUGGUGGUGGUGAGCAAUAAGCCUCCCCCAUCCCUUGUAGAAUUCAGCCCUAUAUAAUUGAAACUAUUUAAAUACAUAUUUAUUCUAAUUAUCCUGUCAACUGAGGUUGAGAUACCAUCCUGGACUCAGUGACCACGCUCUUUCCUCUGAGACAGAAGAUUGUAGAUAUAACUAUCAGGAAAUAUUGAGCACUCUAGAAUCCUUUGGAUAAGAAAAGACUAAGAGGAAAUGUGGUAGAUAUCUUUAAAAUUGUGGUGGGGUGAUUGUGAAAAAGCUGCUUCCACUUGUGGGUGAAUAUCCUUACAGAUGCUGAUGGAGUAGCAUAUUGCAACUUUUUGUUUUGAUUUUAUUUCAGAUUUCCUGCAUUUGCAUUUUUAAAAAAUUGACUUAGUUCAGGUAAUUUGGAUAACUGCCUAAAAUGUGUAUUAUGGGUAAGACACAGAACAUACAACUGUGAUGAAGUCUGCCACCACAUCGUUUCAUUGCCGAUGGGAGAACGAUGUGUGCAAGCAUGAUGGGAUUGGAAAAAAGCGAGAGCAUGGAAAGAAAAAUAAAUAUAUAAUAAAUGGGAUUCGAAUGCCUGACUCUAUUUAAACACUUGCUUACCAUGUAACUCCAAUUUGUUAUUUAAGAGCCAGGUUAUUUGGGGCUUUGGCUUGCUUCCAGUGGUGAUACAUCUGAUCACCUUUUCUUCUCUUCCCUUCAGCAAAUGUUUGGUGAUGUUCAGGACAGGAGGAGAUGGUGGUGCUAGGGAGAUAAGAAAAGGUUCACAAUUGCUUUGAAAUGCUUCCAUGCAAACUAAAUGUCAUAUAAAAUGAAAAAAAAAAAUCUGAAAACAAUUUUGUGUUUUCCUCAACACUGGCUUUUACUUCUUUCAAUCAAAUGAUGAAAUAAUAUUACCGCGUUCUUAUCCUUCCAAUAUACAUACCUAAAACGGUGAGGUACACUUGUUUGGUCACUGGUUGGUGGCCAUAAUAUGUACAGGUGUACAUGCCGUCAUCUUGCACUGUAGUAUUGAGCAGAGUGAUAAUUAAUUUUGUGCCUGAGUAAUGCACUAAUUUGUAUCUUCUGUCCCUUAGCCCUGUUGGAAAAAAUAAUUUCUUCAUAACCUUUGUUAUUAACAUCCAGACAAUCAUACAUAUAUCUGAGAAUAAGAACCACUUGCCUCCAUUGAAAGAUGAAAUUUGAACAUUAUAAAGUGGGAGAAAUUUAUUUGUAUAGAAGAUUUUGUUAUUUUUGAAUUAUGUUUGUUCAUCUUCUUCUUUGAGGGCAUCAAUAGAAGUGAAAAUAACGUUUAAAAAUGGUGGCUGAUUUAUGUGAAGAUACAGAUUAAGAAUAUAGCGAUAAUCUAUUUUUCUAAAAGUGUAGCUAUAUUAUGUGCUGCAAAACACAUUCAUAAGUCUAUUCAUACUCCAAGAUCAGUUAUUUAACUAAUUGCAGCAUGCUAUGUUUUAACAAUAACUACUAGUAAACUUAUGACUGGUGCCAGGUUAGGUUUGCCUGCAAAAUCAUGAGAAACAGCAACAGGAAGAUAUAUUGUAUAUUAGUGGCCCUCCAGAUGAACUGUGUUUACACUAUUACAAUCAUUGAUGAAUCAAAUAUUGGUCCUGUGGAUGGUGGAAAUCUGAAAAAGAAAACAUAAAUACCGGAAACACUCAGCAGCUCAGUCAAAAUCAGUGGAGUGAAAAGACACCUCAGAUAUAGACCCUUCUCCAGAAUGAUGAAGGGUCCACAUCUGAAACAUAAACUUGUCUGCUCCCUCCAAAGGUGUUGGAUAACCUGCUGAGUGUUUCUAACAUUUUCUGUUUUUGUUACAAUCAUUAUAGACAAGGGUUUAGAAUGUCUGUACUUCAAACAUUAUUAACAAUGUUUCAUAACAAUGUCACUCAAAUAGAAGAAGUAUCAUCAAGUACAAUAUAGAUUUCUGUAAUGGUGCUUUCAAGAAAAAAAUCCUUUAUAAUAGGUGUCACAUUAGUGAGUAACUUCUAAAAAUUCUAAAAAGACUGAAUUAGUGAAGCAUUUUUUUGUGGGGUAGCAAUGUGAAUUCAAGUACCCACUUUAUUUCAUUGGAUCACAAUAGACAUCGAUGAAGGAAAGAGAAAUUCAGAAAAUAAGAGAACCAUGUUGGUCUCAGAGACCUCUGUUCGAACUGGUGUUGAUUUGUAAAAUAACCACUUUUAAUGUAUGUAACUUCUAAGAAUAAAUAUAACUUGAUUUCCGGCU